AAAAAGAAAGAGAAGAAAGAGAAAAAAGAAGAACUAUGUCGAAUGAAAGGAGUAAAAGAAUUAUUUUGGGAUUGCUCUCAAGUUUCUGUUUCUGUUUCUUCUUCCUCUCUUUCUUCUUCUUCU
rnacentral:ribozyme from 13 species